rnacentral:lncRNA from 1 species
ACCAAGCUUAUGCACGUGCGAUUAUUUUACAAAUACAAAGUAUUUAAUGUACUAAGUGUAGAUUUAGAGUGGAAAAGCAGUCGUAUUAAUUAUCGAUAUAUAUUGCGAUGAUGCCGCACAAUGUGGAGACUUUUUAAUCGAGGUAUGAAAGAAUUGUUGAAAUUAUUUUUGAACAGUUAAUCUCGUAAACAUGCAUUAUUCUAAACUUGUAUAUAUGUUGACGAAAAAAUGUUGAAUAGGUUGAGGCGCACGUACAUGUAUGUCAAAGCUCCAUAGUCAAAAAUUAAUGGCUAUUUUGACAGUGAUAGUUGAUCCUCUCAACUUGAUCCUUUAUAAAGACAACUAUGACUUCAAAUUUUGCCGAUAUUUUUUGAGUUGCUGUUAGAUCUUUUCGUUUUUAUACAACAUUUAUGUUUUGAAAUUGUUUGAUGCUCUCCAGGCUCUCGCGACUUCGAGUAUUCAUCAGAAAUCUUAAUUUGACUGACGUUCGCGCAUUUCCUUACUGACCUCAAACUAGCACUGGAUGGUGCAUCUGAUGAUGAUAAAAUGAUAAAUAAUUAAUUUACAAUGAGAAAGGGAUACUGACAACUGUAGCUAGAAAUGACCUACCCUUGAGCCUGUUUAUAUUCAUGGGAGUGGGAUGACCCUAUAUAUAGCAGAAGGAUUACCCUAGUAAACGCGUUACCCUAGGUCUAUUAGGGUUACCUGUAAAACAGACAGGGUAACUCUGAGGAAAGGCCAUGUUUUUGUUUACAUAAGCCAUGCAAACGCCUCAGAUAGGGGCAGAACCGUAGCGACCGGGGGGGUGCAGCACCCCCUAAUAAUUACUCAUUAGCAAUUUCAGGUAGAUUUCCAGUAGAUUUUCAGGUAAAUUCAGGUAGAUUUCCAGUAGAUUUUUAGGUAAAUUCCGGUAAUUCUCGGGGCAUAAGAAAGUGAAUUGGGAAAAAUAACUAUAUCUGUGGAAAACUUUUUUUGUAUUUUUGUAAAAAUUAAGAUAUGUCCGGAAAAAAUUUUGUAUUUUCGGAAAAAUUAUGAUAUAUCCGGAAAAAUUGUUGUAUGUUUUACUGAAUUGUUGUAAAAUUUUUGCGACGUCCUCCCUCCCCCUUCCCCCCACUCGCCAACAAUUUUGGGAAAAAUAUUAAUUAGUGAUUGAAAUAUUCUCGACAUGCAUGCGUCGCAAAAUCAGGUAAAAAAGUGAAGUUGGAUAAAUUCAGGUAAAUCUAACCUCACCCCCCCCCCCAAAGGCAAAGUCCUCGCAAUGGCCAUGGAUAGGGGUACUCUACCAAGAUGGUCAUGUUCUUUCGGCUAUUAAUUCAUACUUUAUGCUAGACAAACAAAAUCAUAUGGAAACUAUAUGUCAGUCUGGCUAAUAUUUUAUGCGGUUUCAGAGAGAAAAAAAGGAUAACGAUCACAUGGGGAAACCUCCAAAUCCAAUCAUGCGUUUUUUAUUUAGGGAACACUAAGUACCGUAUCGUCGUUCGUUUGAUUAAGAACGGAAAAGUUUGAUUCAAUAGGAUGCCCUACCCAUUGCGGGAAAGUCAGACUAGUUUUUCAAUUUAAAACGGGUGAAGAUUCUAUAUAGUGAUUUAGGAGCCAAAGAGUCACAAAUAUACUGAUCCAAAGAACAGCAAGCAAUUUAUAAUCAUAGCAAUAGUCAUCCACCAUAUAUGAGCUAUCGCAAUCUCAAAUCAAACAGUUAUACAGUUGUAUAUGACCUGAUAACCGAUUCGAUGCUACUGACUCACCUCGUCGACAAUCAGCUCAUAAAUAAAUCGAGCUCAUAGUUAAGUAUAAUUGUUAAAUAUAUAACUGACUACAUAUUGUUAUUUCAACCACUAAUUUAUAAAGGAAAUCAUGGCCUUCACGUCGUUGUUGUGACAUACUCAAUUUUACUGGGCAGUGAUAACUAAUUUGCGAAGUGAUAAUAAUACUGAAAAUGUGCAGUGAAAAAAUUUGCUUUGAUAAGUUUUAAAUUAACAAAAUAUGAGCCAACGAGCCGGAAAACUGAACUAAAAAUUCGUCUUGACAUUAUUAAUCAAAAUAUUUUGAAUGAGAAUAAUUUGAAUGUAAUUGAAAUCAUAAUUGCCAAAUUAUCGAAUGUCUGCACUAAUAUUUAUAUACUUAUAAGGUACAUCAGAUGAACAAUGUCUCUCACGAUAAAUACAUACAGGUCAGGAAUAAAUUAAGCUAUUAAUCGCCAAAAUAUGAGGCACAAACUUUAAUUAAUAAAGAACUGAGAUUUACAGCAGCAAAAGGUGGUCGUUUCCUGCAAACAUGUGAUCAUGAAACUAUUCUGUAAUAGAUCGAUAUAGUUGUAUAACUGCAGGUGCUGACCAAGGCCACCGAGAGAGGUGAAGGGUGCAAUUAAUUUACGCUAGGUUCCCAGUUAAAGGGGGCAAAUAAAAAAAUACAGUGAAAUAUACAUAGAACUGUCAACAGACUUCCAGAAUUUGGCCAUUUCUGAGACCUUUUCAUUUUCCAGGGGAGAAUCUCCCUAAUUAUAGAAAUUUCCCAUUUACUUUUCUAAGUAAGUCGGCGGAUCGAACGUAUAUGCAUGUAUGGUGCCCCAGUAAUUACUCUACGAUUUUGAUAUUUUUGGAGCCCGUCUUUGAGGCCAAUUCCGCAAUUAUCACAUAUAGCGGGCUACAUUAAUCAAAAUAGGGCUGCACAAUAGCGUUGAAUAUACUUAUCAUUUAUAGACCCAGAGCGAGGGGGAUUCGGCGAAAUAUUAGCCGAAUACUACCCGCCAGAUGCGUGAAAUAUUGUAAUAUCUCACGCUGCAUUGCGAAAUCAUACAUUUGGGUGAAAUACCGUAAAAAAUCACAUUGUCACGUGGUAAAAUGUUGUUUUUUAUAGCACUAUUUGAAUAUGAGGUAUAAUAUUGUCAACGAUCUCACUGAUGAAGGAAACACUAAAUCUGGAAAAAUUGUUUUUUACUCAAACGAACUAGGAUGAAAGUUGAUGAGAGUUGCACCUCUCGCUCGCGUUUAAGUCGAUUCGCUUCAAAUUUUGACGAGAGUUGAUGAGAGUUUUGGUUGCGCGCGCGGUAAUAUUAAGUCAACUCUCAUCAACUCUCAUGCAACUCUUGUUCUCGUUUGACCGGGUCAUAAGAAUUGAGAAAACUCUUAUGCAAACUCUCGCUUCUCCACUCCCAUCCUUGUUUAACCAGAGCUUAAGAACCAAUUUGGGCCUGGUUUCUCACUAAAUUGACUCGGGGUAUAAAAAGCAGUUCAGCUUGAUAUAGAAAUAGCAGUUCUUUUACUAUACACAUGCACUUUAUCAAAGAAAAUAUUUAACAUAUAGAUAAGAUUUUGCCGUUGUCUCUUCAGUUAUAGAUACAGUAUGACGUCAUAAUGUGGGGAAAACAAAAAAGUGACUCCGCCGAGGCGAGUGUCUGUUCUGUAACUGAACAGACAACGGCAAAAUCUAUUUGUUUUAUAUAAUAAAAAGAAAAACCGCUAAUUAAGCAGGUAAAUAACUUACUUAUUAUCCACCCAAACAUUUUAAAAUUUGAAAAAGUCAAAAUUUUACAAAUAUGACGGCGUACAUGAUCUAUACAAAUAAGGGAUUGCUAUUGGAUAAGGUUUUGUGUGACGUAAUUCCGUACGUCUGUCCUCUAAUAGAACAUGGCUCUCGACCAAUGAAAGCGCUCGAAUUCUUAACGUUAUUAUAUAAAAACAUACAUAACAUGCAUAUUACGCGAUUUCGUAUAAUGCCAAUCACGUAUUUCGUUUUUCUUUAUUUUACAAGGUAAAAACAAUGGUUUCCAUUGAAAUUAAAUGAAUACUCAUCACACGUUUAUGAAGCAUGUUCCAGUUUUAUGCAAGGUCAUCGGAUGGGUCUUCAUCUAUUUAGCCGUAUUAGCAGAAGCCGAAUUCCAAGACGGUAAGUGCCUCAAUGUUUUGUACUUUAUAUAUACAAGUACGUUUUAUUUCACUAAAUGUCAUAGUGCACGUGAUGUCAAACAGCGAAAAUUACAUGAAAAUCUUUAGUUUGCUAAGUCAACUAAAGUUCGAAAUAAUCAGACAGCGCGCAAGAGGAGAACUUAGCCCGCGUGCAGGCCCACCGAGGGAAGAAUAGUGGGCCUGCAAAGAAGACCGGGUAUUUUGUAUUUGUCGCGUUCGCACAAGAACGCAGAAUUCUUAUUGGCUGUUUGAUUUAAUAAUAUUACGCUCUUGAUAAGUUUCGUAGGACUAUAUUUUCCGCAUUGUACAACAUUUCGCAACCAAACUUUGCAAUUCUCCUAAUUUUAACAUGCUCUUUCUAGCUGUGGAAAUGGAUUUUGUUCUUCUUGCUGAGAUCAAAAUUUAGUCUAUAGCUGUAUUAGCUGGAAUCAUCUAUAUUGUUUUAUAUCAAUCACAAUGUUUUUUAUCACUUAUUAGAAAGUGGAUCGAUAAUCAAAAUUCCAGGAGAGUAUAGAAUUCAUUCCAAUCCUAUAAAGAAGACGAAAACGUCCUCCGAAAAGUACAAGAACUCCCAUAACAAAAGAGAACGCCAAACACUCCUACGUGAGUUUGUACUGGGUGAUUUUACUCUCUAUGUUCAAGACACGUCUGAUGAUGAGAAAAAUAGUUAUGCUGAAAUCCAUUAUGGCGAUAAAGCGUUUGUUGGAAAUAACAAGAAAGUCAAAGAGAAUUCAGGAGCAACUUUUGGGAUUUUCACUAAGGAUGAAAUAAAUACACGAAAAACGAACAACAAGAUCCAUAAGCUAUUGAAAGGCAUAACCGCAAGAUUAAAAAGUAACCAAGUGGACAUACAUAAGACAAACGAAAGAGACAAAGUCCAUAAUAAAAAAUCUAAAUACAGUCAUAGAAGAAAAUGGAAGGAAAGAAGAUUUGAAAAUAAUAUCAAGCACCAAUUGAAAGGAAGUUUAUUCGAUAUUAACCCUAAAAAAAACAAAAAUAGUAACAACCAUCGCGCAGAAGACGACAAGAUCUUUCCAUUGAAAUUUAAAAAGACAAGCAUAUCAAGGUCAGGAUUCCCUUAUGGGUACUAUGAUAAUUUUGCUUUUGAAUAUAACAACCUUCCGGACAAUUUUGACAUUUAUGAUAAAACGUACAACUAUUUUUUACCGGAUGAAAAUGGUUAUGACAGAAAUUUAAAGUACAGAGUAGAUGAUAGAAUGUGGCAUAAAAAUAAAAAUAAAAAUGGAGGAGCCAGUCAAAAGAAAUUGCAAGAAUCCCCCAAAAAAUUGCCAAGGAAUCUGAAUGGAAAAUUAAACGAAUCUUUGGAGACAAGUGCAUACAAUCCUUCAAAACAAAUAAGAAUAGGGAACGCUAUCAUUAGUGACCAAUAUAAAAAUAAAGCAAAUAGAAAUGUAGAACCUAAAAUUCAUGCGAGCAAACUGGAAACUAAACUUCGAAAUGAAGAUGGCAUACUGAAAAAAUCAUACCGGGAAAAUAGUAUCAAAGUACAAAACAAUUAUGAUAUUGACGGGGGAAAACUCGACAAAACCGAACGUCUUGCCACCAAAGAUUAUCAUCGAGGUAACGAGGUUAUUAAUUACAAAAAUGUAUCAGCCAUAAAAUGUAACGGCAAUUGUAGUACUGCUAAAGUUUUUGGAGUUUCAGAAAAUAAUGGAUCUCAGGUAGAGGUACCAUGUAACGAACACGAAUGGUGUAAAUAUGGAAAUAAUGGUAGCCUGAUCAACUCUGAAACGAAUGAAAAUGGCCUCAGUGAAAGUAGAAAACAUCAACGGAAAUUUUAUACCUUAUUGAAAAAUGCCAUGGAAGGUCGUCAUAAGGUGAAAAGAACAGAAACAACAACUAAAAAGACAGUCAAAAAAGGUGAUGUUAGCCUGCACAACACGAUUUCGCAUUCACAUAAUAGAAAUGGAAAACUUGCUUUAAAGCCUACAAGUUUUUCUAAAAAGUUGAAAGCUCAGAAGAAGAAAAAAACCAACAAAAAAGAGGAUAAUUCAUUAUUACAACAAAUGCUUAAAAUCCCCGUGAAGUUAAUUGUCAGUUUUGUUCGAAACUAUAUUCUUGGAAAUAAGGAUCCUGGAGACAUGGUACUAAAAGACAUCUGGCAAUUGCCAAAAUCCAGGUUAAAUAAACAUUCUAACAAACGUAGCAAAACUGAUUUGAAAAUUAGCAAUAUCAA